rnacentral:rRNA from 1 species
GUGGGGAAUUGUUCGCAAUGGGCGCAAGCCUGACGACGCAACGCCGCGUGGAGGAUGAAGGUCUUCGGAUUGUAAACUCCUGUUGACCGGGAAGAACUCCCCCGGGGUGAACAUCCCUGGAGGUUGACGGUACCGGUUGAGGAAGCCCCGGCUAACUCUGUGCCAGCAGCCGCGGUAAUACAGAGGGGGCAAGCGUUGUUCGGAAUUACUGGGCGUAAAGGGCGCGUAGGCGGCCAGCUAAGUCGGACGUGAAAUCCCAAGGCUCAACCUUGGAACUGCGUCCGGUACUGGAUGGCUUGAAUCCGGGAGAGGGAUGUGGAAUUCCAGGUGUAGCGGUGAAAUGCGUAGAUAUCUGGAGGAACACCGGUGGCGAAGGCGGCAUCCUGGACCGGUAUUGACGCUGAGGCGCGAAAGCCAGGGGAGCAAACGGGAUUAGAUACCCUUGUAGUCC